UUGCAACACUGUUAGCAUGGCGAAUGUCUGUAUGCUGUGGAAUAUACGUUUUGGGUGGACUGAAGAAGAAUCGGGGGCAUCGAGUCCGUAAGGCGGAUGUUAGAGCUUUUACUUGGGCUGAUUGUAAGCUGAUAAGGUGGACAUGUAAUCCAAUGGCAGCUGGUGUUGAGUUUUAUUCUGAAAGCGACACCAGCUUUGCUGAACUGUGCUGUCUGUCUUGUCCAUAUCAUCAGGCAUAAUUUGAUUAUCAGCUGUUGUGUGUGUAGAGCUAUAUUAACUUUUUAUUUUGUUUAUUAUGUACAGGUCACAUGGUGCCACCCCGGAAACACAGAUAAGUGUAAGAUGGUGUGAAUGAAGUAGUUUGUGUUUCUGUUUAUCUGCAUGUGAGUAAAGUCAGAGCCACAGCCUAGGUGUCUUGAAUGCAGGUCAUUGUACUUUCCAGGAAUCGCAGUCAACAUUCUCUGAAUGUUGUGAAGUUUCAUGUUCCAGGGAGCGUUGUUUUUGUACAAGUUCAACGUUGCAUUCUUUAUUAUGCUGGGCAUGUGGCUUUGGAUUUCAUUGUAGGUUUUAUGGAGGUUUAAACAACGAGCGUGUGUGGAAAUGGAGUGUACUUCCUAUGUACAACUUCAUUGUACAUAAUAUAAAUGUUAUAUCAUAAAUUCACAACUGACCUGUUUAAACAGGAUUCAUAGUCUCUAUUUGUAUGUUAUAAUGUAUAAAAAUGUUUACUUUGAUAGUGCUAUACAUUGAGACAUGUGCAUAGUUGGAACCCUGAAACAAAGUUUGGUAAUAUUGUCACAGCUUCAAAGAACAAGCGAUAUGAAAAUGUGCACUUAAUGAAAUAAUACGAAAUGUUUAUGUUUCACAGGCUUAAAUUUGUGCAACAGUAAUGCUUGCUGUGCUAUUUCAGCUGUUUUUAAUUGACAAGAAUACAAAACAAUAAACUUUUAAAACUUAUAA